GAUGAACGCUGGCGGCGUGCCUAAUACAUGCAAGUCGAACGCAUUUUCUUUCAACGUAGCUCUCUACACCGAGAGACAGUGAGUUGCGUACGGGGGAGUAACACUUCGUUAACCUCCCCAUCAGCGGGGGAUAACAGGUGGAAACAGGUGCUAAUACCUCAUAAUUCCAUUUACCGCAUGGUAGAUGGAUGAAGGUCGCUUUUGCGUCACUGAUGGAUGGACCUGCGCUGCAUUAGCUAGUUGGUGAGGUAACGGCCUACAAAGGCUGCGAGGCAUAGCGGACUUGGAGGGGUGAUGGGCAACCCGGGAACGGGGACACGGUCCAGACUCCUACGGAGGGAAGCAGAGGGGAAUCUUCGGCAUUGGGCGAAGGCCUGACGGGGCAACGCGGCGGGAGGGAGGAAGGUCUCCGGUUCUUAAAAUCCUUUUAUAAGGAAAGAAAAAAUGGGUAGUGAAAAGUUCACGCCUUGACGGUACCUAAUCAGAAAGCCACGGCUAACUACGUG
rnacentral:rRNA from 1 species